CUUCUGACAGCCAGGAACAAGAAAGCCUGUUUUCACAGCAACCCCAGCGGGCACUCAGCUUCUCCAGUACAAAGCGCCUUCCAGCAGAGGCACAUUGGUGGAAACAUCAGCCUUUGUGUCAUCUGUGUAUUAAUUUACUAUAGUACACGUGCUGCUGGGCUACCUGAAAUAUACAGAAAGAAACAACUCAAACACCCUCACAGAGGUGACAAGAACAAAAAAAAUUUAGAAAUAAUUCCUUCAUGGAGGCAGGGGCAAGGAAGGAAGACUCAGUUAUUCUGUCAGGUAUACUUGAGAAAAAUGCUCUAGUACUCUGAGCAGUACUGACAGCACGAUCCUGGCUGAACAGAAGAUGAAUCAAUGGGUAAGCAGUUCCUUUUGCAGUAAAAAAGUGUUAAAUUCAUUGAGCCUUGUGCCGCUUUGAAGCUUGCAGGCAUGACAUUUUUGGUGUUUUUAUUACAUUUUAUUUUUUGUGUGUUUGAGCUACUGCUUAGUCAAGUAGAUGCUGUCAAAUCCUGAUAAAGCAAACUCCAACAUCCUACAGUUAAAUGAUGAUAUAAUGCAACAUGCACAAACUGUGAGCUUUUAUUUUUUUUUUUAAAGUUGUUAUUUUUCCUUUUUUAGUCACUUAGGACAUCUUUUAAAUACAUCUGAGAGUUUAACUGCAAGGCUGUCACUGCAGUUUACAAACAAGCCUAGGUAGUUACUUAGUUAACUCAAAAUGAUUGGAGAAAUGAAGAC
rnacentral:lncRNA from 1 species